rnacentral:rRNA from 1 species
CCUACGGGGGGCAGCAGUGAGGAAUAUUGGUCAAUGGCCGGAAGGCUGAACCAGCCAAGUAGCGUGAAGGAAGAAGGAUCUAUGGGUUGUAAACUUCUUUUAUAGGGGAAUAAAGGGAUCCACGUGUGGAUAUUUGCAUGUACCCUAUGAAUAAGCAUCGGCUAACUCCGUGCCAGCAGCCGCGGUAAUACGGAGGAUGCGAGCGUUUUCCGGAUUUAUUGGGUUUAAAGGGUGCGUAGGUGGUUUUUUAAGUCAGCGGUGAAAGUGUGUGGCUCAACCAUAAACUUGCCGUUGAAACUGGCAGACUUGAGUGUGUUUGAGGUAGCCGGAAUGCGUGGUGUAGCGGUGAAAUGCUUCGAUAUCACGCAGAACUCCGAUUGCGAAGGCAUCUUACUAAGCCAUAACUGACACUGAGGCACGAAAGCGUGGGUAUCAAACAGGAUUAGAUACCCCUGUAGUC